rnacentral:tRNA from 1 species
AGCGGCAUGGCCAAGUGGUAAGGCAAGGGACUGCAAAUCCUUUACCCCCAGUUCAAAUCUGGGUGUCGC